rnacentral:piRNA from 1 species
UUACUUAUUGUUGGAAAUAGU